rnacentral:miRNA from 1 species
UUCUAAUACAUUCAUACA